UACAGAGGUCUCAAGCGUUGUUCGGAUUCAUUGGGCGUAAAGGGUGCGUAGGCGGCGCGGUAAGUCGGGUGUGAAAUCUCGGGCUUAACUCCGAAACUGCAUUCGAUACUGCCGUGCUUGAGGACUGGAGAGGAGACUGGAAUUUACGGUGUAGCGGUGAAAUGCGUAGAUAUCGUAAGGAAGACCGUGGCGAAGGCGGGUCUCUGGACAGUUCCUGACGGCUG
rnacentral:rRNA from 1 species